rnacentral:snRNA from 1 species
GUGCUUCAACAACACAUAUGCUAAAACUGGAAUGAUACAGAGAUUUGCAUGUCGCCUUCCCAAGGAGACACACAAACUCAUGAUGUGUCCCACGUUUUU